GAUGAAGAACGUAGCGAAAUGCGAUAAGUAGUGUGAAUUGCAGAAUUCAGUGAAUCAUCGAAUCUUUGAACGCACAUUGCGCCUUCUAGUAUUCUGGGAGGCAUGCCUGUUUGAGCGUCAUUAAACCUCUCUCAAGUAUGAUUACUUGGAUGUGAAGGAAGAGUACCUUAAACUUAAGGAGUGUUCUCCUUUGAAAUUGAUUAGCAGAUGGUAAUGUUAUUAAAUCCCUGAUGUUGUAAGAAAUAACAGUGGUUUUGUAGACUAUUAUCUAGCUUUAAAUUAUAAUUUUUAUUAUGGUUGACCUCAAAUCAGGUAAGGACACCCGCUGAACUUAAGCAUAUCAAUAAGCGGAGGA
rnacentral:misc_RNA from 1 species